CCUCUGUGAUGCCUGUCUGCCAUGCCACCCUGCCUGCCUUGGAGGCAGCCAAUUACGGACUGAAACUUCUACCAACUCAAGAAAAGAUGAAGACGAGCACCGUAAUAGCAUCUAUUAUUUCCUGGAUAUUUUUGGAGCUGAAGCUGAACAGUUGUACUUGGAGUCUGAAUAAAUAGAAGAAGUGGAAGAGACAAUCACCGGGUCAAGUCUUACUACUCGAGGGGAAAAAUAUCACUUCCAACAUCAGAGACACAGUGGUAGCUAGAAGAAAUAAAUUUAAAUGAGGGUCAGUCUGAAGCAAUGUAGGAGGAAAAAGUGCACAGAUGUACAUAAUGAUUAACACUAGUGGCUGGCAAGGAAAACAUUGGUCUCAACUCUAUGACCGUAUCAGAUUUCCAACAGAGAAUGAAAUUCAAAGCCACUAACCCUCCUCCUCCCAGGAGAGGAACAGGCCCUGUCUCGGGCUUACACUGCUAUCCCCACUUCCCAAAUGAAGUGUCAGUCAAAUGGUUUAUAGCACUAAAAUGGUGUUAAAACUUGAACACCGUAAAUGGAGUUUUCUUAGGCCAAGUUCCCUUACCUGGAAUAGAUAGUAGGUGUAACAAGAUCCUUGGGGAUUCAGGCCAUUGGUCACUUCUGACUGGAGCUCCUCAUCCCCAGUGGCCAAUCAACUGUCAUGGCAUGAAAAGUGUUGGGAAGCUUUGCUCUGAGAUCAUUUCCCCAAGCCUGGUGCAUUUACAUAAAUGCCUGGAUCCCA